ensembl:snRNA U4 U4 spliceosomal RNA
AGCUUUGCACAGUGGCAGUAUCAUAGUCAAUGAGGUUUAUCGAAGGCAUGAUUAUUGGUAGUUGAAACUCUAGAGUUGAGCCCCAUAAGAAUUCCAACUUGCUUAAAGCAAAUGCAGGCUUUGUUUGCGUCUCCACUGCUGGA